rnacentral:rRNA from 1 species
AGAGUUUGAUCCUGGCUCAGAACGAACGCUGGCGGCAGGCUUAACACAUGCAAGUCGAACGCACUCUUCGGAGUGAGUGGCAGACGGGUGAGUAACGCGUGGGAACCUACCCUUUGGUUCGGAAUAACCCAGGGAAACUUGGGCUAAUACCGGAUACGCCCUUCGGGGGAAAGAUUUAUCGCCAUAGGAUGGGCCCGCGUCGGAUUAGCUAGUUGGUGGGGUAAUGGCCUACCAAGGCAACGAUCCGUAGCUGGUCUGAGAGGAUGAUCAGCCACACUGGGACUGAGACACGGCCCAGACUCCUACGGGAGGCAGCAGUGGGGAAUAUUGGACAAUGGGCGAAAGCCUGAUCCAGCCAUGCCGCGUGAGUGAAGAAGGCCUUAGGGUUGUAAAGCUCUUUCAGCGGGGAAGAUAAUGACGGUACCCGCAGAAGAAGCCCCGGCUAACUUCGUGCCAGCAGCCGCGGUAAUACGAAGGGGGCUAGCGUUGUUCGGAAUUACUGGGCGUAAAGCGCGCGUAGGCGGAUUACUAAGUCAGGGGUGAAAUGCCGAGGCUCAACCUCGGAACUGCCUUUGAUACUGGUCAUCUGGAGUACGGGAGAGGUGAGUGGAAUUCCGAGUGUAGAGGUGAAAUUCGUAGAUAUUCGGAGGAACACCAGAAGCGAAGGCGGCUCACUGGCCCGAUACUGACGCUGAGGCGCGAAAGCGUGGGGAGCAAACAGGAUUAGAUACCCUAGUAGUCC